rnacentral:rRNA from 1 species
UACGAAGGGGGGCUAGCGUUGCUCGGAAUCACUGGGCGUAAAGGGCGCGUAGGCGGAUCUUUAAGUCGGGGGUGAAAGCCUGAGGCUCAACCUCAGAAUUGCCUUCGAUACUGGAGAUCUUGAGACCGGGAAGAGGUAAGUGGAACUGCGAGUGUAGAGGUGAAAUUCGUAGAUAUUCGCAAGAACACCAGUGGCGAAGGCGGCUCACUGGUCCGGUACUGACGCUGAGGUGCGGAAAAGCGUGGGGAGCAAACAGGG